rnacentral:rRNA from 1 species
GAUGAACGCUGGCGGCGUGCCUAAUACAUGCAAGUCGAGCGAAUGGAUUAAGAGCUUGCUCUUAUGAAGUUAGCGGCGGACGGGUGAGUAACACGUGGGUAACCUGCCCAUAAGACUGGGAUAACUCCGGGAAACCGGGGCUAAUACCGGAUAACAUUUUGAACCGCCUCGUUCGAAAUUGAAAGGCGGCUUCGGCUGUCACUUAUGGAUGGAGCCGCGUCGCAUUAGCUAGUUGGUGAGGUAACGGCUCACCAAGGCAACGAUGCGUAGCCGACCUGAGAGGGUGAUCGGCCACACUGGGACUGAGACACGGCCCAGACUCCGACGGGAGGCAGCAGUAGGGAAUCUUCCGCAAUGGACGAAAGUCUGACGGAGCAACGCCGCGUGAGUGAUGAAGGCUUUCGGGUCGUAAAACUCUGUUGUUAGGGAAGAACAAGUGCUAGUUGAAUAAGCUGGCACCUUGACGGUACCUAACCAGAAAGCCACGGCUAACUACGUGCCAGCAGCCGCAGUAA